rnacentral:tRNA from 1 species
ACCGAAAUAGCUUAGUUGGGAGAGCGUUAAACUAUAAAUCGAAAGGUGCCUGGUUCGAUCCCGGGAUUUGAGA